rnacentral:rRNA from 1 species
UACGAAGGGGGCUAGCGUUGCUCGGAAUCACUGGGCGUAAAGGGCGCGUAGGCGGCCCGCACAAGUCUGCGGUGAAAACCCCCGGCUUAACCGGGGGCCGGCCGUGGAAACUGUCGGGCUGGAGGCUGGGAGAGGGCAGCGGAAUUCCCGGUGUAGCGGUGAAAUGCGUAGAGAUCGGGAGGAACACCGGCGGCGAAGGCGGCUGCCUGGACCAGUCCUGACGCUGAGGCGCGAAAGCUAGGGGAGCAAACAGG